rnacentral:misc_RNA from 1 species
GAGUGUAUUGUUUACUCUGGCGGGCGUCCUUACCAAGCCUGGAUUAUAUCUAUCACAUAAAUGACCUCUACACCUAGUGGCCUUGACAAGGACUCUAAGCCAGCAACUUCUUAAAGGUCCCUCAUUUACCUUGAUGAUCUUUUCCAGGUGUGAAUGGUAGAGAGCAUAGGAGUCCACCACCCUGACCACCAGGUCCACCUAGCCCUCACGUCCACCCAUGUAAGGGUCACAGAUGCCAUCAUCCAUGCCCUUGCCUCUUACAGCAACAUCCACAUCUCCAUGCUGGACGUUGACAAUGUCUUGGAGGGAGUAGAGAGACUCGGCAAGUGGCACUGACAGAUGGAGUGGGCAAGGAGAGAACAGAUUGUGUUUCUGCAGUUACCAGGAGGAGACCCUAUGCUACGAGUAGGUAUCGGACACCAUCUGCACUCUUAUGAUAAGGGGGAUAAUUACUACAUCCACGUUAAAAUCCUCCCAUAGUGGUUUGAAUUGUCUUUUAGGCAAUUGGAAAAAAACACUGCCAUUAUAAGAUUAAUAACAACACCGACCAAAUGUGGACGCCACCUCCGCUGGACCACGUGACUUGACAUUACCCCCUUGGCUCUCGAUACCGUCGUCAGACAGUCCAGACUGUCAGAUGUUCAGGCGUCCCCUGAACAUCUUCCUAUCAAUGCAUUUAUUCACUUCAAGGUGCAUUCUUUUCCACUGACAAUCAACGCUUAUGUAGCCACAUGGCAUUGCAUUUUAUCAUUCAAGGAAAUGCCAGGUCACAGCCAGCACCACUGCCAUCAUGGCUCCGAAAUCAGCAGCAUUAAGGGAAAACCUUGACACAAACUGCACCUAUAAUAAAGAAGAUAAAAUCUCACCAAUGUCCAGAGUGUGGGAAGAAGUUCAGUCAUCUUAGAAAUAUAAAGAUUCGCAUGUUAGUGCAUACAGGUGAUAAACAUCAUGAGUGUCCAGUGUGUUGGAAAAAGAUGCAAACAGCAAGAAAUGUGAAGACUCAUAUGUUAGUGCAUAAGGCUGACAAUCUUUAUGAGUGUCCAGAGUGUCGGAAAAGAUUCCAUCAUCUUGAAAAUAUGAGGAGGCACUUGUUGGUGCAUUCCAUUGAAACUCAUUUUAAGUGUUCCAAGUGUGGUAAAAUAUUUAAGGAACGUAGUGCUAUAAUAAAACAUGCGUUAGUGUAUAUUGAUGAUAUGCAUAACACCUCUCAAGUGUUGAGAAUAUGGUAAGAUUUUCAGUUAUCUUGGAUUUAUGAAAAGCUACAUGAUGGUACAUUUGGGUGAUCAGCUAAACAUUUUGAAUGUGGGAGAAAUUUCAGAAAAUGUUAAAGUAUAAUGAGGCACAUAUUAGUAUGUUAACUUACCAUUAUUCCAAGGCAGUUGGAAAAUUAUGAGCUUCAUCACAAAAAUAUCAUGCUAUCACCAUGCAUGGUAAAGUUCUGCUGCAUGUGACAUUGAGAUUUAUUGUACAGUACUGUAAUUUGUGCUUUAUUAUUUGUAAUAAUCAUUUUAUUUAACAAUGGAGCAGCAAGUAGGAAACAGUUUGAGAUAUUUUCAUAAUGAGACAUUCAUUGACAUAAAAUAGUGUCAUAGACAUAUAUAUAAAGUGGCACCUCGACUUAAGAUUGCCCUGGUUUACUAUAAUUUUGAGUUGCGAUAUAAAUUUGAUAGAAAAAUUUGACACGACUUACGACAGUGUCGUCAAAUAAUGAUAAUUGUUGAUACACGUUCAGGUCGACAGAGCGCAUGGUUCCCGGUCACGCGGGCCGACCUGCCUCAGUUUACUAGAGCCGCCCACUUAGUGAUGAGAAAUUCCAUUUUUGUGGUGAUUUUUUGCUUUUUGAGCAUAAAACUGAUUAUUAUAUAUCACACCAUGGGUCCCAAGAAAGUCAGUGGUAAGGUUCAACAUAUGAAAACAUAUGUAAGAAUGACCA